rnacentral:lncRNA from 1 species
UCACAUUGGAUGUCACUCAGAGUACACUUGUUCAGAUCCGUGUCAGUGUGCAGCAAGGACCAGCUGCUCCCUAAGGGACUGGGAGCUGCAAGCCAAGGGUGACCCAAGGCCUGGCAGAGCUCUUCCCGACAGACACCAUCCCUCAGGAUCUGACUGUGGCUGUCCGCUGAAAUAUAAAAGUGACUAAGAAGUAAAUCAAGCAAGCCACAAUGCCCAGAAACAACUCAGAAGAAAACUAAAAACUCGUGCCCAUGAUCAUGAAAUGGCAAAAAGUAGCUACACAGGUGUCAUGCAGAGAUGUGAAAAAAGAAUAUGGAUGUGGAGGAAUGGUGAAGUGAAAGUUGACAUGAAAUUUUAAACAUGUUGCUCAGCAGCAGGUGGAUGAUACAUAUCCAUAAAUUAAGAUCAGACACAGAAGAAAUACAAUACAGAACUUUCUUUGCUACAGGAACAGCUGUCCUCUGGAACACUGCAAGUGAUGUAUGA